CAAUAGCGUAUAUUAAAGUUGUUGCAGUUAAAAAGCUCGUAGUUGGAUUUCUGGUGGGAGCGAUCGGUCUGGCGCUUAGCGCGAGUACUUGCAUCGUCUCCGGCCAUCCUUGGGGAGAGUCUGUCUGGCAUUAGGUUGUCGGGCAGAGGAUCCUCAUCGUUUACUGUGAAAAAAUUAGAGUGUUCAAAGCAGGCUUAUGCCGUUGAAUAUAUCAGCAUGGAAUAAUAAGAUAGGACUUUGGUACUAUUUUGUUGGUUUGCGCACCAAAGUAAUGAUUAAUAGGGACAGUUGGGGGUAUUCGUAUUCCGUUGUCAGAGGUGAAAUUCUUGGAUUUACGGAAGACGAACUACUGCGAAAGCAUUUACCAAGGAUGUUUUCAUUAG
rnacentral:rRNA from 1 species